GACGUAGGGCGCGAGCGUUGUCCGGAUUUAUUGGGCGUAAAGAGCUCGUAGGCGGCUUGUUACGUCGACUGUGAAAACCUGCGGCUUAACUGUGGGCUUGCAGUCGAUACGGGCAGGCUAGAGUUCGGUAGGGGAGACUGGAAUUCCUGGUGUAGCGGUGAAAUGCGCAGAUAUCAGGAGGAACACCGGUGGCGAAGGCGGGUCUCUGGGCCGAUACUGACGCUGAGGAGCGAAAGCAUGGGGAGCGAACAGG
rnacentral:rRNA from 1 species